AGAGUUUGAUCAUGGCUCAGAACGAACGCUGGCGGCAGGCCUCAAACAUGCAAGUCUAGGGGGUGUAGCAAUACAUCACCGGCGGACGGGUGCGUAACGCGUGGGAAUAUACCUAUCGAUUCGGAACAACUGAGGGAAACUUCAGCUAAUACCGAAUACGUCCUAACGGAGAAAGAUUUAUCGUCGAUAGAUUAGCCCGCGUUCGAUUAGCUAGUUGGUGGGGUAACGGCCCCACCAAGGCGACGAUCGAUAGCUGUUCUGAGAGGAAGAUCAGCCACACUGGGACUGAGACACGGUCCAGACUCCUACGGGAGGCAGCAGUUGGGAAUCUUGGACAAUGGGGGAAACCCUGAUCCAGCCAUGCCGCGUGAGUGAUGAAGGCCUUCGGGUUGUAAAACUCUUUCGCGCACGACGAUAAUGACGGUAGUGCGAGAAGAAGCUCCGGCUAACUUCGUG
rnacentral:rRNA from 1 species